rnacentral:rRNA from 1 species
UAAGGGCGCACGGUGGAUGCCUUGGCACUAGAAGCCGAUGAAGGACGUUACUAACGACGAUAUGCUUUGGGGAGCUGUAAGUAAGCUUUGAUCCAGAGAUUUCCGAAUGGGGAAACCCAGCAUGAGUUAUGUCAUGUUAUCGAUAUGUGAAUACAUAGCAUAUCAGAAGGCACACCCGGAGAACUGAAACAUCUUAGUACCCGGAGGAAGAGAAAGAAAAUUCGAUUCCCUUAGUAGCGGCGAGCGAAACGGGAAGAGCCCAAACCAACAAGCUUGCUUGUUGGGGUUGUAGGACACUCUAUACGGAGUUACAAAGGACGACAUUAGACGAAUCAUCUGGAAAGAUGAAUCAAAGAAGGUAAUAAUCCUGUAGUCGAAAAUGUUGUCUCUCUUGAGUGGAUCCUGAGUACGACGGAGCACGUGAAAUUCCGUCGGAAUCUGGGAGGACCAUCUCCUAAGGCUAAAUACUCUCUAGUGACCGAUAGUGAACCAGUACCGUGAGGGAAAGGUGAAAAGCACCCCGGAAGGGGAGUGAAAUAGAACCUGAAACCGUGUGCUUACAAGUAGUCAGAGCCCGUUAAUGGGUGAUGGCGUGCCUUUUGUAGAAUGAACCGGCGAGUUACGAUUUGAUGCAAGGUUAAGCAGUAAAUGUGGAGCCGUAGCGAAAGCGAGUCUGAAUAGGGCGUUUAGUAUUUGGUCGUAGACCCGAAACCAGGUGAUCUACCCUUGGUCAGGUUGAAGUUCAGGUAACACUGAAUGGAGGACCGAACCGACUUACGUUGAAAAGUGAGCGGAUGAACUGAGGGUAGCGGAGAAAUUCCAAUCGAACCUGGAGAUAGCUGGUUCUCUCCGAAAUAGCUUUAGGGCUAGCCUCAAGUGAUGAUUAUUGGAGGUAGAGCACUGUUUGGACGAGGGGCCCCUCUCGGGUUACCGAAUUCAGACAAACUCCGAAUGCCAAUUAAUUUAACUUGGGAGUCAGAACAUGGGUGAUAAGGUCCGUGUUCGAAAGGGAAACAGCCCAGACCACCAGCUAAGGUCCCAAAAUAUAUGUUAAGUGGAAAAGGAUGUGGCGUUGCCCAGACAACUAGGAUGUUGGCUUAGAAGCAGCCAUCAUUUAAAGAGUGCGUAAUAGCUCACUAGUCGAGUGACACUGCGCCGAAAAUGUACCGGGGCUAAACAUAUUACCGAAGCUGUGGAUUGUCCUUUGGACAAUGGUAGGAGAGCGUUCUAAGGGCGUUGAAGCAUGAUCGUAAGGACAUGUGGAGCGCUUAGAAGUGAGAAUGCCGGUGUGAGUAGCGAAAGACGGGUGAGAAUCCCGUCCACCGAUUGACUAAGGUUUCCAGAGGAAGGCUCGUCCGCUCUGGGUUAGUCGGGUCCUAAGCUGAGGCCGACAGGCGUAGGCGAUGGAUAACAGGUUGAUAUUCCUGUACCACCUAUAAUCGUUUUAAUCGAUGGGGGGACGCAGUAGGAUAGGCGAAGCGUGCGAUUGGAUUGCACGUCUAAGCAGUAAGGCUGAGUAUUAGGCAAAUCCGGUACUCGUUAAGGCUGAGCUGUGAUGGGGAGAAGACAUUGUGUCUUCGAGUCGUUGAUUUCACACUGCCGAGAAAAGCCUCUAGAUAGAAAAUAGGUGCCCGUACCGCAAACCGACACAGGUAGUCAAGAUGAGAAUUCUAAGGUGAGCGAGCGAACUCUCGUUAAGGAACUCGGCAAAAUGACCCCGUAACUUCGGGAGAAGGGGUGCUCUUUAGGGUUAACGCCCAGAAGAGCCGCAGUGAAUAGGCCCAAGCGACUGUUUAUCAAAAACACAGGUCUCUGCUAAACCGUAAGGUGAUGUAUAGGGGCUGACGCCUGCCCGGUGCUGGAAGGUUAAGAGGAGUGGUUAGCUUCUGCGAAGCUACGAAUCGAAGCCCCAGUAAACGGCGGCCGUAACUAUAACGGUCCUAAGGUAGCGAAAUUCCUUGUCGGGUAAGUUCCGACCCGCACGAAAGGCGUAACGAUUUGGGCACUGUCUCAACGAGAGACUCGGUGAAAUCAUAGUACCUGUGAAGAUGCAGGUUACCCGCGACAGGACGGAAAGACCCCGUGGAGCUUUACUGUAGCCUGAUAUUGAAAUUCGGCACAGCUUGUACAGGAUAGGUAGGAGCCUUUGAAACGUGAG